GGUUGAAGGUUUUUAGACCCAUGCAGAGGGAGAGACUUGCUUUACCCUCUGCGAACGUCGUUUCUAUCGCCAGGGUGCCACGACAGGCGGUGGCAGGCUCAGCUGGCUCAGCAAAGUGAAAUAUUCGGUGAUUUUAAACGUCGGGAUGAAUAGUUUCCUCGUAUUUCGCGUUCUCGACCCGUUUCAUGGAUUGGAAUUCAUGUUAUUUCGGUAUCAUUAUGUGCAUCGUUGGGUCUCAAUUAGUGGCUCGUCCAUUCUAAGUAGAAUAUUUAUACGAACAUGGAUCGAUUCACAUUUAUCUCGAUAAUUGGGAAAAACGGGAACAUGUACAACGAGACGCAAAUAAAGGUGACAAACGAUUUAUUACCCGUUAUUUCUAGAAC
rnacentral:misc_RNA from 1 species